AUGCUCCAGCGGCUUCUUCGUAGUGACGAGAAUGACGAGAUAAUCAGAGAUAUGUUUCUUCUUUCUCUUCUUAUGUUGACGAUUACGAAUCUUCUUCCUCGACUCUUCUUCCAUUUUCGUUUCCGCGUUUCAAAUCAUGUGAUGUGUAUUGUUGUUGUUGAUUGCAGAAUGAAGCUCGUUGAAAUUGCGAUGAUUUGCUGA